rnacentral:rRNA from 1 species
UAACCUGCCCAUCAGAGGGGGAUAACAUUCGGAAACGGAUGCUAAAACCGCAUAGGUUCUACAGUCGCAUGACUGAAGAAGGAAAAGAGGCUUCGGCUUCUGCUGAUGGAUGGACCCGCGGUGCAUUAGCUAGUUGGUGAGGUAACGGCUCACCAAGGCCGUGAUGCAUAGCCGACCUGAGAGGGUGAUCGGCCACAUUGGGACUGAGACACGGCCCAA